AGGAUGAACGCUAGCUACAGGCUUAACACAUGCAAGUCGAGGGGCAGCAUGGUCUUAGCUUGCUAAGGCCGAUGGCGACCGGCGCACGGGUGAGUAACGCGUAUCCAACCUGCCGUCUACUCUUGGACAGCCUUCUGAAAGGAAGAUUAAUACAAGAUGGCAUCAUGAGUCCACAUGUUCACAUGAUUAAAGGUAUUCCGGUAGACGAUGGGGAUGCGUUCCAUUAGAUAGUAGGCGGGGUAACGGCCCACCUAGUCUUCGAUGGAUAGGGGUUCUGAGAGGAAGGUCCCCCACAUUGGAACUGAGACACGGUCCAAACUCCUACGGGAGGCAGCAGUGAGGAAUAUUGGUCAAUGGGCGAGAGCCUGAACCAGCCAAGUAGCGUGGAGGAUGACUGCCCUAUGGGUUGUAAACUUCUUUUAUAAAGGAAUAAAGUCGGGUAUGGAUACCCGUUUGCAUGUACUUUAUGAAUAAGGAUCGGCUAACUCCGUGCCAGCAGCCGCGGUAAUACGGAGGAUCCGAGCGUUAUCCGGAUUUAUUGGGUUUAAAGGGGGUGUAGAUGGAUGUUUAAGUCAGUUGUGAAAGUUUGCGGCUCAACCGUAAAAUUGCAGUUGAUACUGGAUAUCUUGAGUGCAGUUGAGGCAGGCGGAAUUCGUGGUGUAGCGGUGAAAUGCUUAGAUAUCACGAAGAACUCCGAUUGCGAAGGCAGCCUGCUAAGCUGCAACUGACAUUGAGGCUCGAAAGUGUGGGUAUCAAACAGGAUUAGAUACCCUGGUAGUCCACACGGUAAACGAUGAAUACUCGCUGUUUGCGAUAUACGGCAAGCGGCCAAGCGAAAGCGUUAAGUAUUCCACCUGGGGAGUACGCCGGCAACGGUGAAACUCAAAGGAAUUGACGGGGGCCCGCACAAGCGGAGGAACAUGUGGUUUAAUUCGAUGAUACGCGAGGAACCUUACCCGGGCUUAAAUUGCAGAUGAAUUACGGUGAAAGCCGUAAGCCGCAAGGCAUCUGUGAAGGUGCUGCAUGGUUGUCGUCAGCUCGUGCCGUGAGGUGUCGGCUUAAGUGCCAUAACGAGCGCAACCCUUGUUGUCAGUUACUAACAGGUUCUGCUGAGGACUCUGACAAGACUGCCAUCGUAAGAUGUGAGGAAGGUGGGGAUGACGUCAAAUCAGCACGGCCCUUACGUCCGGGGCUACACACGUGUUACAAUGGGGGGUACAGAGGGCCGCUACCACGCGAGUGGAUGCCAAUCCCAAAAACCUCUCUCAGUUCGGACUGGAGUCUGCAACCCGACUCCACGAAGCUGGAUUCGCUAGUAAUCGCGCAUCAGCCACGGCGCGGCGAAUACGUUCCCGGGCCUUGUACACACCGCCCGUCAAGCCAUGGGAGCCGGGGGUAC
rnacentral:rRNA from 1 species